rnacentral:misc_RNA from 1 species
GAUGAAGAACGCAGCAAAAUGCGAUACUUGGUGUGAAUUGCAGAAUCCCGUGAACCAUCGAGUUUUUGAACGCAAGUUGCGCCCGAAGCCUUUUGGCCGAGGGCACGUCUGCCUGGGCGUCACGCAUCGCGUCGCCCCCCACAACUCUCCGUAAAGGGAACUUGUGUUUUGGGGGCGGAUAUUGGUCUCCCGUGCUCAUGGCGUGGUUGGCCGAAAUAGGAGUCCCUCCGGUGGACGCACGAACUAGUGGUGGUCGUAAAAACCCUCGUCUUUUGUUUCGUGCCGUUAGUCGCGAGGGAAACUCUUUAAAAACCCAAAUGUGUCGUCUCUUGACGGCGCUUCGACCGCGACCCCAGGUCAGGCGGGACUACCCGCUGAGUUUAAGCAUAUCAAUAAGCGGAGGA